rnacentral:rRNA from 1 species
UGGGGAAUAUUGCACAAUGGGGGAAACCCUGAUGCAGCGACGCCGCGUGAGCGAAGAAGGCUUUCGAGUCGUAAAGCUCUGUCCUAUGAGAAGAUAAUGACGGUAUCAUAGGAGGAAGCCCUGGCUAAAUACGUGCCAGCAGCCGCGGUAAUACGUAUGGGGCGAGCGUUGUCCGGAAUUAUUGGGCGUAAAGAGCUUGUAGGCGGCUCGUCGCGUCUGGUGUGAAAGCCCAUCGCUUAACGGUGGGUUUGCGCCGGGUACGGGCGGGCUAGAGUGCAGUAGGGGAGACUGGAAUUCCCGGUGUAACGGUGGAAUGUGUAGAUAUUGGGAGGAACACCAGUAGCGAAGGCGGCUUUCUGGACUGCAACUGACACUGAGGCACGAAAGCGUGGGUAGCAAACAGG